ACAAACACAAUAUUAUAAAUGUUUCAAUAUCUUAACAGAAGACGAGAGUAGCUAAUAAUAUUCAUAGGUAAUUGUGCAAUAAAUAAUAGUAAUAUUUCUAAGCAAAACUUACGCCAAAGUAAUCGUAGCAAGCCUUAAAAUACUAUUAGUUGACUUAAAAAUUAAGGGGAGCCAGCUCUAAUAGUAACACACACACACACACUAUGGGGAAUAAUAAUUGAGGCUAUGAGAAAUUGUAUAAUUCUUUUUUUAAUAAUAAUAUGUUUCACACUAGGGAAAGUAUCAACGGCGAAUGAAACGAGUAAUAUUACUAAUAAAUGUCCCGAUUGCAGUACAUACUUAUCAUUUUGUAAUGCUAUGAGUUAUGGCCAUGUAAUAGAACUGAAGACUGAUAUCGAGAAGCUUAAGAGAUGUGAUCCAAAUGUAACUACUAUAAAUACAUUACAGACUUGUGUGCCAAGGGUUUAUCGUGUACAUGGUAAUAAAUAGAAAUUUACAUCAAGCUAAUGCCCUAAAUGUAUUGCAUAUGCAGAACUAUUGGAGGGUUUCAUCUGCUUCUGGACGCCACAAAUGGGAUGUACAAUUGUCAUUGGCAAGCGCGAACAGGAAAAAAAUCACACUGAAAACUAUUGUAAAAAAUGUCUGUUAUAUUGCCCCUGUUCUGUAGGAAGUAGAGUGCAUAUAGGACACACGGCACGAACAGCUAUAUGCAUUGGAUUGGUCUUGGGACUAAAGUUGGCAUUAUAAAAUGUAAAUCCUUAGAUCUAAAUUUCAAAAUGCCCAGCUAAAUAAAUAAAUAAAAUAGAUAUAUUUAAGUACAUGUACGAUAA